UGGGGAAUAUUGCACAAUGGAGGGAACUCUGAUGCAGCGACGCCGCGUGAACGAAGAAGGCUUUCGAGUCGUAAAGUUCUUUUAUAUGGGAAGAUAAUGACGGUACCAUAAGAAGAAGCCCCGGCUAACUACGUGCCAGCAGCCGCGGUAAUACGUAGGGGGCUAGCGUUGUCCGGAAUCACUGGGCGUAAAGGGUUCGCAGGCGGAAAUGCAAGUCAGGUGUAAAAGGCAGUAGCUUAACUACAGUAAGCAUUUGAAACUGCAUAUCUUGAGAAGAGUAGAGGUAAGUGGAAUUUUUAGUGUAGCGGUGAAAUGCGUAGAUAUUAAAAAGAAUACCGGUGGCGAAGGCGACUUACUGGGCUCAUUCUGACGCUGAGGAACGAAAGCGUGGGUAGCAAACAGG
rnacentral:rRNA from 1 species